rnacentral:rRNA from 1 species
UACGAAGGGGGCUAGCAUUGCUCGGAAUUACUGGGCGUAAAGGGCGCGUAGGCGGAUAUCUAAGUUGGGGGUGAAAUCCCGGGGCUCAACCUCGGAAUUGCCUUCAAAACUGGAUAUCUUGAGUUCGGGAGAGGUGAGUGGAACUCCGAGUGUAGAGGUGAAAUUCGUAGAUAUUCGGAAGAACACCAGUGGCGAAGGCGACUCACUGGCCCGAUACUGACGCUGAGGCGCGAAAGCGUGGGGAGCAAACAGG